GAGUUUGAUCAUGGCUCAGAUUGAACGCUGGCGGCAGGCUUAACACAUGCAAGUCGAGCGGGGAAAGGUAGCUUGCUACCUGACCUAGCGGCGGACGGGUGAGUAAUGCUUAGGAAUCUGCCUAUUGGUGGGGGACAACAUUCCGAAAGGAAUGCUAAUACCGCAUACGCCCUACGGGGGAAAGCAGGGGAUCUUCGGACCUUGCGCUAAUAGAUGAGCCUAAGUCAGAUUAGCUAGUUGGUGGGGUAAAGGCCUACCAAGGCGACGAUCUGUAGCGGGUCUGAGAGGAUGAUCCGCCACACUGGGACUGAGACACGGCCCAGACUCCUACGGGAGGCAGCAGUGGGGAAUAUUGGACAAUGGGCGAAAGCCUGAUCCAGCCAUGCCGCGUGUGUGAAGAAGGCCUUUUGGUUGUAAAGCACUUUAAGCGAGGAGGAGGCUACUUAGAUUAAUACUCUAGGAUAGUGGACGUUACUCGCAGAAUAAGCACCGGCUAACUCUGUGCCAGCAGCCGCGGUAAUACAGAGG
rnacentral:rRNA from 1 species